rnacentral:sRNA from 1 species
GUGCUGUGUCUUUUUUUUUCCUUUUCCUCCACUGAAAUAAUCUUAUUUAUUUGAACCUUCCAAAGGUGGAUAUGGUUAUAGAAGAAGUGGCCGAGAUAAAUAUGGCCCUCCUACUCGCACAGAGUACAGACUUAUUGUGGAGAAUUUGUCAAGUCGGUGCAGCUGGCAAGACCUAAAGGAUUAUAUGCGUCAGGCAGGAGAAGUGACUUAUGCAGAUGCUCACAAGGGACGCAAAAAUGAAGGGGUGAUUGAAUUUGUAUCUUAUUCUGAUAUGAAAAGAGCUUUGGAAAAGUUGGAUGGAACUGAAGUCAAUGGCAGAAAAAUCAGAUUAGUUGAAGACAAGCCAGGUUCCAGACGACGCCGGUCCUACUCCAGAAGCCGGAGUCAUUCAAGGUACUGUUGAUGUCUUUUGUGUGUUGGAGCGCAUCAUAAAUUCAUUAGUGAGCACAUAGAUAAUUUAUUUACAUUUUCCUGUUGAGUUCUUAAUAACAUGAUUCCAUCUGGUUCAAUAACUUAGAAUUUUGAACUGAACAUUUAUGUGUAAAACUCUCGAACUCUUGGUCAUGAGUACAAAUAGAAGUCCCUUCUCUUAGAAAUCAGAGGCUUUGCUCAC